rnacentral:rRNA from 1 species
UGGGGAAUCUUAGACAAUGGGCGCAAGCCUGAUCUAGCCAUGCCGCGUGAGUGAUGAAGGCCUUAGGGUCGUAAAGCUCUUUCGCCUGUGAUGAUAAUGACAGUAGCAGGUAAAGAAACCCCGGCUAACUCCGUGCCAGCAGCCGCGGUAAUACGGAGGGGGUUAGCGUUGUUCGGAAUUACUGGGCGUAAAGCGCACGUAGGCGGAUUGGAAAGUUGGGGGUGAAAUCCCGGGGCUCAACCCCGGAACUGCCUCCAAAACUAUCAGUCUAGAGUUCGAGAGAGGUGAGUGGAAUUCCAAGUGUAGAGGUGAAAUUCGUAGAUAUUUGGAGGAACACCAGUGGCGAAGGCGGCUCACUGGCUCGAUACUGACGCUGAGGUGCGAAAGUGUGGGGAGCAAACAGGAUUAGAUACCCUGGUAGUCCACACCGUAAACGAUGAAUGCCAGUCGUCGGGCAGUAUACUGUUCGGUGACACACCUAACGGAUUAAGCAUCCGCCUG